AUAGGACGGUGGAGAUGGAUGCGACAUCUAGACCGGGACGCUGAAUCCACCAACAGCGCACAGAAGGGGCAACCGAGUGCCCCAGCAAAGUCCUGGAGGUUCGUUGAUCCAGCAGUCUUCACCUCUGUUGUGCCUUGACCCUGUGCCUGGUGCUAGAAGCUGAGGAGAGGGAAGGAGCGGGACCCUCCCGGAACUCGUGUCUGGUGUCUGGCUGAGAGCCAGAACAUGCCACUACUUUGUUAUCCUGCCCUCCUCCAUGGAUUUCUAUAUUCCAUUAUUCUUCUCAAAUAAAACUCGGACCUGCUUUUUCCCUUUGAAUGCUGAAGGCUCCGUCUCCAAGUUCCCCUGCUAGAAGGCAUAUUAUGAAACGGGAUGUACCAUCAGAGACGAAGGACAAAGGAUGAAUAUGUUUGAAGAUUCUGAUGGUGAAGACUAGAGAAGAAAGCAGAUUCUAGCUUUCUGGGAGAAUAGAAAGAAACAUGGAAAAUGCAAGCUCUCCAGGGACAGGAGCACUUGCAUUUUGAACGAAGAUUCUAAUCAAGGAUGCCUCUCAAGCACGUGAGAAUUCUCACAUGGAAGGAAUUCCACCUGGAAGGCCCAUUCUGGAGUGAGGGUGAUAAGGAGUGCAUCUUUCCAGCAUUUCUCAAAUGGUACCCAGCAGUUACCUUGAUAUUAAAUCAGUCUCACCACCAAACCUAAGAGUGGGUGGACCUCAACGAACAGGGAUUUUGAAGCUGAGAAAAAAUUUUUUAAAAAGGCAGCUGGAUUUGACUUCAUUCCACCCAGAUGUCCUUUCUGUGAGCCUCUGAUUAUUCUAUCCUGAAUGUGAAGCAAACCUGUAGAGGUCUUGAGUCACAGCCUAGAAGGCCAAAUUCUUAUGGGACAAUAAAAAUCUGAACCAAAUGCUGGCCCUGCUGGGUCCGUCUGUUAUUGGAAUUAAGUGCCCCUUUUCAUUUUAUUCAAACUGAAGAAACUUUCUGGCAGGGUGUCAGGUUUCAAACAGAAAUGUCAGCCAAGGGCUCAUGAGGCCAAGAUCCUAGCAAACUUGAAUCAAUUUACGCUUUGGGUAAAACUUCAUAUGGAAUU